rnacentral:rRNA from 1 species
AACGAACGCUGGCGGCAUGCCUAACACAUGCAAGUCGAACGAGACCUUCGGGUCUAGUGGCGCACGGGUGCGUAACGCGUGGGAACCUGCCCUUAGGUUCGGAAUAACUCAGAGAAAUUUGAGCUAAUACCGGAUAAUGUCUUCGGACCAAAGAUUAUCGCCUUUGGAUGGGCCCGCGUAGGAUUAGCUUGUUGGUGGGGUAAUGGCCUACCAAGGCGACGAUCCUUAGCUGGUCUGAGAGGAUGAUCAGCCACACUGGGACUGAGACACGGCCCAGACUCCUACGGGAGGCAGCAGUGGGGAAUAUUGGACAAUGGGCGAAAGCCUGAUCCAGCAAUGCCGCGUGAGUGAUGAAGGCCUUAGGGUUGUAAAGCUCUUUUACCAGGGAUGAUAAUGACAGUACCUGGAGAAUAAGCUCCGGCUAACUCCGUG